CUCUAUGGUCCCCGCCGUUCCCAGGCUGCUCAGCGGCGGCGGCCGGAGCCGGGAGGAGCUCGGCGGCGGCGGCGGCCUGCCGUGCCCUGCCCGCGCCCUUGGCGGCGGCCGCCAUGGAGCUGGAGGUGCCCGAGGAGGCGGAGGGCUCGGCCGUGGCGGGGGCCGGCGCCAUCACCCCGGAGGCCGGCGCAGGGGAACCGGACGCGGCGGGAGGUCUGGCACCGAAGAAAGCAGCCAUCACCGAGGGCCCAUCGCUACCAGGGCAGCCUGGCCAAGGAAAGAAGAUUGGUCAUCGGAGUGUUGAUGCUUCUGGAGAAACCACCUACAAAAAGACCACUUCCUCCACCCUGAAGGGCGCCAUCCAGCUGGGCAUCGGGUACACAGUCGGCAACCUGAGCUCCAAGCCAGAGAGAGAUGUCCUGAUGCAGGACUUCUACGUGGUGGAGAGCAUUUUCUUCCCAAGUGAAGGAAGCAAUCUCACCCCAGCUCACCAUUAUGCUGACUUCAGGUUCAAAACCUAUGCACCAGUGGCUUUUCGGUACUUCCGAGAGCUCUUUGGGAUUCGUCCAGAUGAUUAUUUGUACUCAUUAUGUAACGAGCCCCUGAUAGAGCUUUCCAACCCUGGUGCCAGCGGCUCCCUCUUCUAUGUCACCAGCGACGAUGAAUUCAUCAUAAAAACUGUGAUGCACAAAGAAGCUGAAUUCCUCCAGAAGCUCCUUCCAGGCUACUACAUGAACCUGAACCAGAACCCGCGGACGCUGCUGCCAAAGUUUUAUGGACUGUACUGUGUGCAAUCGGGGGGCAAAAACAUCCGCGUGGUGGUGAUGAACAACAUUCUGCCUCGCGUGGUGAAGAUGCACCUGAAGUUUGACCUGAAAGGCUCAACCUAUAAACGCCGGGCAUCCAAGAAGGAGAAAGAGAAGUCCAGCCCCACGUACAAAGACCUGGACUUCAUUCAGGACAUGCCUGAGGGCCUGAUGUUGGAUGCAGACACCUUCAGUGCGUUGGUGAAGACGUUGCAGCGAGACUGUCUGGUGUUGGAAAGCUUUAAAAUCAUGGACUACAGCCUGCUGCUUGGUGUCCAUAACAUAGACCAGCAAGAACGGGAGCGGCAGUCGGAGGGAGCGCACAGCACGUCGGAUGAGAAGCGUCCCGUGGGGCAAAAGGCACUUUACUCCACAGCCAUGGAGUCCAUCCAGGGUGGGGCUGCCCGGGGGGAGUCCAUAGACACAGAUGACACGAUGGGAGGAAUCCCAGCAGUGAAUGGCAAAGGAGAGCGUCUCCUGCUCCACGUAGGAAUCAUAGAUAUCCUUCAGUCGUACAGGUUCAUCAAGAAGCUGGAACACACCUGGAAGGCCCUUGUCCAUGACGGGGACACGGUGUCAGUACACAGACCCAGCUUCUAUGCAGAGAGAUUCUUCAAAUUCAUGACCAACACGGUGUUCCGAAAGAACUCCUCUCUGAAGUCGUCUCCCUCAAAGAAAGGGCGCAGUGCCUUGCUGGCUGUCAAGACUUCUGGUCCAACAGCUGCGUUCUCAGCUAGCCAGCUCCCCUCUGAGAAGGACGAAACGCAGUACGACCUCCGUGCAGCCAGGAGCUAUCCCACCCUUGAUGACGAAGGCAGACCAGACCUGCUCCCCUGCACGCCUCCUUCCUUUGAGGAAGCCACCACGGCCUCCAUAGCCACAACGCUCUCUUCAACAUCUCUCUCUGUUCCUGAGAGAUCUCCUUCAGAGACAUCGGAGCAGCCCCGGUACAGGAGACGCACGCACUCCUCAGGGCAGGAUGGCAGGUCGCACGAGGAGGUGCGAGUUGAAGAGGAGCUUCAGCAGAUCAGUGUAGAGCUGGAGCCGAAAUGUGAUGUUGAGAUUGUAGCUCCCGAAGAAGAUGACAAGGAAGAAGCAGCUUCUUCAGCCUGUGCCAUUGUAAUGUCCACAGCCACAAUAGAGGUGGAGACGGCCAGCCAGGCCUCCGAACCAGCCAGCCAGGCCUCGGAUGAAGAUGACGUGCCAGUCACAGACAUAUACUUUGCAGAUGCAUUAGGUGGUGCAGUGGAAGUCUAGUACUGAGACAGGGAGUAAGUGAGGUGGUUGCUGUUGGCAGCAGAGUGCCGUGGAGCCUGGGGCUGUGUUCCUCAGCCAGCUUCCACAACGUCUGAGCAGCUUCUGCAGAACGGAGAGGAGUUUUUAGGAGCGUGUGCCUGCUCUGUGGAUUCCCAGAGUGGAGCUGAGGGUCUGACCCAUGGCAUGGGAACCUUUCCAUUAAAAGGGGGGCUCUGCUCCAACUCGCAUGGCAAUGGAGUUGAGCUGUGCCCUGUGAGCUCCUUCAGGCUACCCUGAAAAUGGCAGCCUUUGGCUCUCCCUCUGCUCGUGUGGCUCUGCUGCAGAGCUGCUCACUCGUUGCCGAGUCAUUUGAAGGCUCGUGGGAGCUGCAGGAGGAAUUGAUUUUACAAGCUUGUCUGUUUGGGUUUUUGUGCAUGCUGUUCCAAAUGCAAACAGCUCCCUCUAACACUGGCUGCUCUUUCUUUGCCUGUGGAUGGCAGCUGUGUGCAGGCUGCCUGCAGAUACUGCCUGUUCCACUGGCAAACGUCUCCUAGCAAGGGGCAGCUCCCUUCCUCCCUGUCUAUGGGCACGUGGACUCCCCUCAACUUCCACGGGGCUCUUCUCUAUCUAGAAGAAACCAUUUGUGUGCAGUGUGUGCUCACACAGAGCCCGACUGACUCAUCAGCAUCUCAUGCUUCAUCUGAGUCCUUGAGUUUUGCAUUAAACGUGUGUUGUGUGCUGUGGAGUGUUUGUCACUGCUGGGAUGAAGGGAAAAACUGAUCUGGGUUUCCCACUGGCAGUGGUGGCUUUUCUGUUUGUUUUUUUGUUGGAAAACCACCGGAGCUGAAGCUCAACCAAGGCUGCACCCAAAUGCAGCAAGGCUUGGACCCCAGCUGCCCCUGCGAGCACGCUCCAGGAGCGAUGAUGGGUGGAGGGAUGCUACGUGCAGAGGAUGAUUUGUCAAGUCCUAGGGGCCCACGGUCUGCUUGUUGAAUUCAGCUUCCAAAAGAAGAGCACUUUAUCCCCCUGCUCACUCUCAGGGGAAUAAAGGUGCAGACAUUUGUCAGGCACGGGCACCGCUACUUCCACGCAUGGCUUUCCUGCCUGCUGAUCCAUUCAGGCCUGGAGUUGUCCAACCCUUGGGGUUUUUUUUGCUUUCUCUUCCAUUCUGUCUUUCACGUCAUCUUUCUGUUGGUUUUUUUGUUUGUUUGUUUGUUUUCCCCUCUGUUUCCUUUCUCACCUCACUCACCCCGGGGCCAAGCAGUUCACAGAUGGCAGGUACUGGAUUUACUCUCCCCGUCAGCGCAGACUCCGAACCACCUCGCUUUCCUCCAGGACUGUAAGUGACCACGCAAGCAUAUAGCAGAGCUGCAGCUUUGAAACACUGGGGUCAGCAGCUCCAUUGCCCAGGGAUGCCAUGGUUCUGUCCUCUGUGACCACUGGGAAUCAGCCCAGGAGAAACAGGGAGCGCAGGUCAGAGCUGCCUGAAUCAAUCUGUCACGGGAUCUCACAGAAGUGAAGACUCAGCCCUACUUUUCUGCAGGCUGAGGGCGCAGCUCCUAGCUUGGUAUCGCCCAGAAUUGGGCAAACCUGCAGAUCCAUAAAGGUGGAGGCACUUGAGCAUUUAUAGGUGAUGUGAGGCACGGCCCCCUUGGCCCAGGAAACCAAACUGGGUUCCAGAGAGUCUACCAAGAUGUUUUGAAAUUACUGUUAGACCUGUGGCCAGUCCUCCUUCCAGUGGCAGCUUCUAAAUCUGAAGGAGUUGAGAGUUACUGAUGGAUUAUGGCUGGUUUCUGCUCUCCAGCCCUUGUUGUUAUCACCCACGGGCUCCCUCCUCACCACGGGUCUUCGGUGAGCAGUGAGAGCUUCACCUCCAAAAGAUGCAGGGAGGCAGCUCAGCGCUGCACCCAGAGCUCUGGGUUUUGGUAUUCCCCUUGGCUGGGUUUUGGGAGGGCUGCUGUCUUCCUCAGAGGGUGAUGGCAGCACUGUCAGAGCCUUGGCACAAGCAUUUGUUCAGCAUGUUCUGAGCAGUGCCUGCCUUGGAGCCAGGCUGGGGAGCAGAGGAGGCAUCAGGCAGGGUGCAUGGGGCAGCAGGGGCAGGAGCAUGCUCCUGAGCUUGGCUGCUAGGAUGAGGAGAGGCAGCCCCAGCAGCAGCAGGGUUAAUGCUGAGCACUGGAUGCUCCUUGUUUUUUCAUCUCCCCGCUGGGUUUGCAGCUCCCUGCAUGUGUCUGGGCUCCCAAAAGGCUCUCAAAGAGGCUGGCUGGAGCAUGUAGUUCAGUUGGGUGAAAAACAGGAUGUGCAGCAGGCUUUGUGCUGUCCUGAGCAUUGCUGUGCCUCCAGCAGAGCCCUGCAAAAAGCUCCAGGCAAGGUUUUCUCUUCCUUCCCUCCUCCCAGCGGUCUCUGCUCACGCAGCUGCAAUUAUUGGUGGGGUUCAGCAUGCAGAGCCCAGUGCUUCAAAGCUCUUCAAAGCUCCUCCAGCUUCUUGUAGUACUUUGCACAUUGUAGAUGGUUCCCAGGCUGGGAGCCCCCCCAGGCUUCUUCCAAGCGUCCCAUUCCAUUUUUCUUCCUCUGUAAGCCUGGGCUGGGCCAAAGGGGGCAGUUUUCCUCCCUCAGGCACAGGGACACCUCUGGAACCAAUUGAGCCACUUUGCAGUAGAAGUUUUCCCCCUUAGGAACCCGUGGCCACUGAAUCUGUCUGGGCUUCUCUGCUGAGUUGGAGGCAGAAGUGUGAUUGUCCCACUGAUGCCCAGUGCUGUGAUAAGCAGCUCCCUUGAUGCACAUCCCCAUUCCCUUAUUUUUUUUCCAAGAUCCAGUUGUAUUUUGCCUUCUGUGUUGUACCCAUUCUCAUCACCACCACUGUCUCCAAGGCUGUCAGUGAAAACUGACUGGUUCCUUUCUGUGGCCACCAUCCACCACGAUCCAACCCAGCCACCUGCUGCCUCACUUGGCCUGCAGGGAAGGGGGGGGAAGGCAUGGCAAACCAGGUCAAGUUCCGCUGUAAAAAGCCCUCCGAGGUGCCAGCUUGUAGCACAGCAGGGGCUCAGGAAGCGGGGUUGGGAGCUGGGAGUGGGUAGCAGGAAUGAAGAGCUCCAUCACUGCCCCUUGGUAAGUCGCUUCCCACGUCUCCUGGUUUCUCCGGGUUGAUGCUGUGGCAGGGAGCUGAGAAUUCCCUGGCACCCGCAAAGCCCUCGCAUCUGUCCUGCGGUGGGGGAGGUUGUGCCCUCCUCCCUGGCGCAGGGUGCAGUGCCAGCUGCUGGUGGCAGGGAGCAGGUAGGUACCAGCAUGGAGCCCCAGCACUGAGCCCAGUCUCUCCUCCGGGCAGAGAGCUGUUCUUACUGUACUGUUUCCUACUCUUUUAUUUUCUCCUUUUAUUUUUUCCUCUUCUCUCCUUUGCUCCCUGCUCUGCUGCUGCUCUCCUUGCAUUCUCCCCGCCGUCUCUGGCCACUCUGGCAGCCGACAGACGAGAGGAGUUGGGUUUACUCCCCGCUCCACUAUAGCGCUCAGCUCCACUCUGUCUCCGAUGAGGAGAGCGAUACAUAAUCUCUAUGCAGACACAGAAGCCCCAGAGAGCAGCGAUUCCCUCUGCAGGUCCACGUGUUCCCUUUUCGUUGAUGCAGCCGUUCCAGCGGGAUGGGGAAGAGCUUUGCUGACACCAGUUGUGCUGCCCCGCGGGAUCCCGGGCAGCGCUUCAGAGCGGAGCAAAACUGUAACCGUCUGUUCUGCUUCUCCCAGACGUGGGCAGCAAAGAAACCACCCACCCACCCACAGCUCCCAAGGAGGCAUCCAGCUGGGGGUAGAGAACCCUGGGUAGUAACACCGUGUUUUCCAGACGUGCACUACCGUAGCUACCUAUCCAUGUGUAAUACUGUGAACCUUUUUAAUUUUUUAAUCAUAUAUUUAUUUCUUUUAUCUUUGCACACAGACAGCACAAAUGUGCUUUUUUAAACAUUUAGUUUACUGCACUUUUUUUUUUUUCUUCUUUUUUUUUUUGGGCUCUGUUUGUUGGUUUGGUUGGUUUGGGGUUUUUUUUGGUUUUUUUUUGGUUGUCUUCUAUCUGUGCAUCAGAAAGGAGCGUGAGACCUCACUGGAGGAUUGGUAGGAGCACAGUGCUGGGGAGGGCAGGGAGCGGAGUGGCUUCGCUGGAGGAAGCAGCAGCGUGGCCUGGCCUGCUGAUGGAGUCAGGAGGUUUAAGGCCAGGCAGACUGCUGCAGUUUUGCUGAGUGACCGAAGGCGAGUCACCCAACCACUCUGUGCCUCGGUUCCCCCGUGCUGUGGGUGUGCAGUUCCCGCUUCGUUCGAGCACUUACACCCUGGGAUGAAAGGUGCUAUGUACAUGCGACGUAUUAAAGGCCACUGAGUAGAAUUGCUCCUAUGUUACAGUAGUAGCCAUGCCAAUUCACUUGGAUCCAAACAUUGCGAGUGACUCCUCUUGAUCCCUAACACCGAGUGGGGGAAGCAAGCGAUUCCUGGCAGUGCCGACGCGCUCACCUCGGCUCUCCGGACCUCACAGUGGCUUCUGCCUUCACCUGUUGCUGUCACCUGCUGCUGUCACCAUUUCUCCAUGCUCAGAGCCCACAUCUUGUCGUAGUGGCCGCUGGCAGACAUGGACAGAUGAGGACUGGGCUCCUCCAGGGGCUGCUUCAUGGAGGGACAUUCUCUGCUCUGCCCGGACCCCGCAUCCCACUGGAGCUGCUUGGGACCUCACGGGUGUAUCUGACUGAAGUUCCAUAUCUGGCUGAGUUUUGGGGGUUACCAAACGUUGGGUUCACGCACCUCCUCCAUACCUCAGGGCAGCUGUGGAGGUGUGCACGUGGAUGGGUGCUGGAGGCAGGAAUGUGGGCAGCACUGUGUGCACAGACUGUGGGACAAGAGGCUGGGUGACUCGGCUGCUGUUGGGAAUGGCUGCUUGGGGUGUCUGAGACACGGACAGUUUGCUCUUCGUGGGCUGCAGGCUUUGGCCACGAGUUGGUGUCACUUGGCAGCGCUCGGGUUAGGCUCGUCCUUCUGCCGGCUGAGCACCUCGUGAACUCCAGCAAUUUCAUCCUCCUCUCAGAGAAGUGAAACCCUUUAGCCAAGAGGGAGCCAAGUCUGUGUGCUUUGCAAGUUUCCCUUGAGAGAGGGUCAAAAUCUCUUUGUUCUCAUUGCAACCUUCAGCUGUCAGUAGGAUUUGUCGUACAGGAGAGCGGGGGGGAGUCCCUCCUCCUGGGGCUCAGUCCCCUUCCAUCUGUCCCCACAGCAGCACUUAGGACUGGUUCACUGAGCUCCCAGAAGGUAAGGGGCUGGUGGGAAACUGCGGAUCAAUGACCUGGGAAAGGAUCUGUGUGAAUUAUGGGCCCCCCCCAAGUGUGGGACCCAAACUUCCACCCUGGGGAUGCUGAAUGCUGUUCAGUGUGCUGCUCUCCGAGUGCAGGCUGGGGGUCCUGCAGGCUGCUGCCCUUAGGUGUAUCCACGUAGUUACCAAUCUGUCAGAAGUCCUUUCAAGGCUCUCCCCUUUCCAUCGCUAUGUGGCAUCCUUCUGUGACAGGCUGGGGAACAAACAGCUCCUGAGCCCCCUGUCUCCUUGUGCCAGCGCCGGGGGCUCAGGGGCAGAGGGCAGCAGUGCAAUAUCCACAGACUGACGUGCCUCUGAGCUGAGAGCGGGAGGCUUCAGAACGCCCCAAACGCAGCUUGGCCAAGCCCCCCCUGCCCUGGCAUCUUGGGGUGGGCCGGGCAGGGCUUUCCAAGCUGCCGCUUACAGGUGCUGUGAGCAUCGCCGUGCUGAGGUGGAGGCUCUGCUCCUUCCCUGAGCAGCCCGCUGAGCGGGCCUUGCGGGCUGGAGUCAGCGUGAGCCCAGGUGUGGGGAAGCCCAGAGGAUCUCGGCACGUUCGUUCCAAGCGCUGUCCUCCGUCAGGGGCUCUGUGGGACAAUCCUGGUGCGCGAUCCCCUCGGGCUGGGGGUGAGCUGUGCCAACGUGGGGGGCAGGAGGAGCCUUCCUGGGGGAUCUGCCCAUCGCUCACAGCCCCGGCAGUGCUGGGGGGCGGCGUGUGACCACGGGAUGGGACGGGAUGCAGCCAGGGCUGUUCUCACAGCUCUUCUUUUUGGGGGGUGAAGACCUCAUGGGUGGUUUGGUUUGGUUUUGUUUUCAUUUCCUCCUUUGUUGUUUGGGUUUUUUUGUUGUUGUUCCCCCGUGGAGGGGGGGGGGAACCGUUUGGGUUCUUUUUGUUUUGUUUUGUUCUGUUUUCCGGAGAACUGUGCGUCGGUGCGAUGUGUCCUCGGCUCUGUGAUAAAGCAUUCUCUAUGUGCUGUA